rnacentral:rRNA from 1 species
GACGAACGCUGGCGGCGUGCUUAACACAUGCAAGUCGAACGGAAAGGCCUGCUUUCCCUUGUGGAUUGCGGGUACUCGAGUGGCGAACGGGUGAGUAACACGUGAGUGAUCUGCCCCCAACUUGGGUAUAAGCCUGGGAAACUGGGUCUAAUUCCCGAUAGGACUGCAGGGUGGUGCCUGUGGUGGAAAACGAUUUUCUAGUGGUUGGGGAUGAGCUCGCGGCCUAUCAGCUUGUUGGUGGGGUAAUGGCCUACCAAGGCGGCGACGGGUAGCCGGCCUGAGAGGGUGGACGGCCACAUUGGGACUGAGAUACGGCCCAGACUCCUACGGGAGGCAGCAGUGGGGAAUAUUGCACAAUGGGCGGAAGCCUGAUGCAGCGACGCCGCGUGGGGGAUGACGGCCUUCGGGAUGUAAACUCCUUUCGACCGCGAGGAAGCCACCUGGUUGGAAGGGUGGUGACGGUAGUGGUAGAAGAAGCACCGGCUAACUACGUG